rnacentral:tRNA from 4 species
UGUGGCAGACUAGUGUAAUAAACUUAAGAUUUAUAAAUAAAAUAAAAUUUCUUUAGAAG